UACGUAGGGUGCGAGCGUUGUCCGGAUUUAUUGGGCGUAAAGAGCUCGUAGGCGGUUUGUCGCGUCGGCCGUGAAAUCUCCACGCUUAACGUGGAGCGUGCGGUCGAUACGGGCAGACUUGAGUUCGGUAGGGGAGACUGGAAUUCCUGGUGUAGCGGUGAAAUGACGCAGAUAUCAGGAGGAACACCGGUGGCGAAGGCGGGUCUCUGGGCCGUAACUGACGCUGAGGAGCGAAAGCCGUGGGGAGCGAACAGG
rnacentral:rRNA from 1 species